AGUGAACGCUGGCGGCGUGCCUAACACAUGCAAGUCGAACGAGAACGGAUAUAAGUUUACUUAUAUUGUCAGCUAAGUGGCGCACGGGUGAGUAAUAUAUAGUUAACUUGCCUCCAAGAAGGGGAUAAUUGUUGGAAACGACUUGUAAAACCCUAUAUGCCUUUAUCACAUAAGUGAGCAAGGGAAAUAUUUAUAGCUUGGAGAUAGGACUGUACGGUAUCAGAUAGUUGGUGAGGUAAUGGCUCACCAAGUCUAUGACACCUAACUGGUUUGAGAGGAUGAUCAGUCACACUGGAACUGAGACACGGUCCAG
rnacentral:rRNA from 1 species